UACGUAGGUGGCAAGCGUUGUCCGGAUUUACUGGGCGUAAAGAGCGCGCAGGCGGUCGUACAAGUCGCGUGUGAAAGCCCCCGGCUCAACUGGGGAGGGUCACGCGAUACUGUUCGACUCGAAGGCAGGAGAGGGAAGCGGAAUUCCCGGUGUAGUGGUGAAAUGCGUAGAUAUCUGGAGGAACACCGGUGGCGAAGGCGGCGUUCUGGACUGCAACUGACACUGAGGAACGAAAGCCAGGGGAGCAAACGGG
rnacentral:rRNA from 1 species